rnacentral:rRNA from 1 species
UACGUAGGGUGCAAGCGUUAAUCGGAAUUACUGGGCGUAAAGCGUGCGCAGGCGGUUGUGUAAGACAGAUGUGAAAUCCCCGGGCUUAACCUGGGAACUGCAUUUGUGACUGCACGGCUGGAGUGCGGCAGAGGGGGAUGGAAUUCCGCGUGUAGCAGUGAAAUGCGUAGAUAUGCGGAGGAACACCGAUGGCGAAGGCAAUCCCCUGGGCCUGCACUGACGCUCAUGCACGAAAGCGUGGGGAGCAAACAGG